GGGAAUCUACCGUGCCCUGCGGAAUAGCUCCGGGAAACUGGAAUUAAUACCGCAUACGCCCUACGGGGGAAAGAUUUAUCGGGGUAUGAUGAGCCCGCGUUGGAUUAGCUAGUUGGUGGGGUAAAGGCCUACCAAGGCGACGAUCCAUAGCUGGUCUGAGAGGAUGAUCAGCCACAUUGGGACUGAGACACGGCCCAAACUCCUACGGGAGGCAGCAGUGGGGAAUAUUGGACAAUGGGCGCAAGCCUGAUCCAGCCAUGCCGCGUGAGUGAUGAAGGCCUUAGGGUUGUAAAGCUCUUUCACCGAUGAAGAUAAUGACGGUAGUCGGAGAAGAAGCCCCGGCUAACUUCGUGCCAGCAGCCGCGGUAAUACGAAGGGGGCUAGCGUUGUUCGGAUUUACUGGGCGUAAAGCGCACGUAGGCGGUUUGUUAAGUCAGGGGUGAAAUCCCGGAGCUCAACUCCGGAACUGCCUUUGAUACUGGCAAGCUAGAGUCCGGAAGAGGUAAGUGGAACUCCUAGU
rnacentral:rRNA from 1 species